rnacentral:misc_RNA from 1 species
GACGAACCGCCCGAGCGUUAUUCGGAAUCAUUGGGCUUAAAGAGCACGUAGGCGGUACUGUAAGUUGGAGGUGAAAUCCUAUCGGCUCAACCGUGGAAUUGCCCCCAAUACUGCAGAACUGGAGGGAGUAAGGGGUAUGUGGAACUUCCAGUGGAGCGGUGAAAUGUGUUGAUAUUGGAAGGAACGCCAGUGGCGAAAGCGACAUACUGGGCCUCUUCUGACGCUGAGGUGCGAAAGCUAGGGUAGCGAACGGG